rnacentral:misc_RNA from 1 species
GUGAAUCAUCGAAUUUUUGAACGCAAAUUGCACUCUCCGGUUUUCCGGGAGAGUAUGCCUGUUUGCGGGUCAGCCUAAAAAAAAAUCGACUUGGUGGCGGUUUUAGGGUGACUUUCUUCGGAGAUGGGUUAUCUUAAUCCUGGGUUUAAGCGACUUAAAAUUUUUUUUUACGUUUCUAAGAUGGUUUCAAGGUUUUUUCUUGUAGGUUUAGGUUAUCGAUGUUUUAUUUA